UACGGAGGGUGCGAGCGUUGUCCGGAAUCACUGGGCGUAAAGGGCGCGUAGGCGGCGCGGAUAGUCGGCGGUGAAAGCCCGGAGCUCAACUCCGGGUCGGCCGUCGAUACUUCCGGGCUUGAGCACUGUAGAGGCAGAUGGAAUUCCGGGUGUAGCGGUGGAAUGCGUAGAGAUCCGGAAGAACACCGGUGGCGAAGGCGGUCGUGCUGGG
rnacentral:rRNA from 1 species